rnacentral:misc_RNA from 1 species
UCUCCGUUGGUGAACCAGCGGAGGGAUCAUUACCGAGUUUACAACUCCCAAGCCCCUAUGUGAACGUUACCAAACUGUUGCCUCGGCGGGAAAUUCAUGCCCCGGGCGCGUCGCAGCCCCGGACCAAGGCGCCCGCCGGAGGACCAACCAAAACUCUUUUGUAUGUCCCUCGCGGACUUUUAUAAUUCUGAACCAUCUCGGCGCCCCUAGCGGGCGUUUCGAAAAUGAAUCAAAACUUUCAACAACGGAUCUCUUGGUUCUG